AAAAUUUAAUUUUUUUAUUUUUCAAAAUUUGAAAUCUUAUCCCCAAAACCUCAUUUCUCAACUCUAAACCCUAAACCCUAAACCCUAAACACUAAACCCUAAACCCUAAACACUAAACCCUAAACUCUAAACCCUAAACCCUAAACACUAAACCCUAAGCCCUAAACCCUAAACCCUAAACCCUAAACCCUAAACCUUAAACUCUAAAUCCUAAACCCUAAACCCUAAAUCCUAAACCCCAUCCUUUAAUUCUAAACCCUAAGUUUGUGACUUUUGAUAAAACAUUAAGUGCUAUUUUUGUGACUUUUGACCUUAAGUGCUAGUUUGGGAACAAAAACUUGAUUUAGUGCUAUUUUUGUCUUUUUCUCUUGAAAAUAUGUCAAUAUAUAUUUAGUUAUUUAUAAUUAUAAACUAUGAGAGAUAUCAGAAUCUUAUUUUAUGUUUUUUUUUCCUUUUCACAAUAUAUCUUUCUUUUCUAUGUAUUGAAUAAAUUGCAUCUUACAGAAAAAAUAGGCAACUCUUAUACACAAAAAGAUGAAACCAUCAUAAGCAGCAAACAUAACAUAAUGAUAAUAAACAAUCAGACAUCUUCCUGAGUUGGUAUUUGGUUGACAAUAUUCACCUGAGCCUGGGGAGCGUUGAACAUGUUCGAACCAUAGGUAGAAAAAAGUUUGAGCUUGCACCGUUAGAAUAUUUUUGGAUGUUUCCUUUUAUCCUUGCGCUUUUAGUCAUAACUAUCAAAGGUCAAAGUCGCGAAAAAUCGUAGUUGUAAGUUCAUAAAGUUAAAAAAUGAUAAAGCGAUUCGCAUUUCUAUUUUUUUACCAUCAAAUUAAGAUUAAGUCGUGAUAUAUAUAUAUAUAUAUUCUAGGUUCAUAAGGUUCAGGUAAGCAAAACAUGAUGCAAAUGCGAGAUUCUCAUAAAAAGAUGUUAACAACAUCUAGAUUUUUUUACUAACUCACAACCCGUUUCCAGUAUACGUUUUACUAACACCAAACAAUUUUAUUUUUAUUUUUGGGCAAACACUAAACAAAUAAAAUGAUUAUAUGUAGAGUAUAUUCAUUAUGGAAGUUUGAGGGUGGUGGAAGAGAAAAAGAAGGGACCAUUUCGUGGCAUGCACCAGCUGAGACAAUGUGGUCCACUUGCUACGAAAUCUAUCCUCCUCUCUUCAUCGCUAUAUCAAAAUUAUGAUUCCUUUCUACUAAUCUACAAACUCUGUAUAGUAAUAUUAUUCUCAGCUUAGCUCAUCAAUUUUGGAUAUAUUUGAAAAAUCUUCCAAAUGAAAAGUACUACAUCGUUCCACCUUAUAGUUUAAAUUUAUAUCGAAGAAUAUGUAAAAGUCAAUUAACUAGUUUUUUUUUUGCUAAAUAUUAAUUAAUUAGCUAGUCUUUUGCAAAUAAUGUGAACUAUACGAUUAUGCUUACAAAUAUCAAUAUCUAUCAAGGGAUUUAGUCCAUAAAAAAAUAGAGUAAGAACGUCUCCAAAAAGAAACUCUAUUUUGAAGUUUCUCAAACUCUAUAUUUGAAGUUUAAAAGUGUUAUUCUGCAAAAGCAAAACUUCAACCUCAACUUCAAAACUAUUUGUAUUUUAUAAUAUGGUCCUUAUAUUUAUCAUAAUCAAUCUGAAUUCAUAAAACUUUUGUAAAUAACUAGCACAUAUAUAAACAUAUUACAACACUAUUAACUAAUAAAAUAUUAUAUUAAAAUAUAAAAUUUUAAACAAAAUAACUUAAUUAAUAGUAAACUUCAAGCAAAAUACCAUAUUAUUCCAUAAAAUGAUUUUCGUAAUGCAUUUAUGAUCUACUAGUGCAUUUCGAAGUAAAAAUGGCUCUCCUCAUUUUUAAUUUGUAGAUUAGGGAUAAAAAUUGUUGAAAUUAGGUGAUAUUAAUACUUGUAAAUACAUUAGAUCAGAAAAAGAAUGUAAAAGAGAAACAUAAAUAUUGCUAAAAGAUUAACUUUUAUCAAUUAUAUUAAUGAACAAAGAUUUACACGACAAAAAAAUACUUAAUAUUAAUUAUUAUUAAAAGUUAUUUGGGUUUGAUUAUUUAGAAUUAUUAUUGAAUUAUGGAAUUUAGUGAUUGUCUUCCAGCCUAAUUGAAAAUGAAUCGAAUUAUUGAUUGUGUCAUAAAGACCCUUAUGCCCACGCCCCAAUCGUCUUCAUGAAUAUAUUCAAUAUGAACAAGAAAGAAUUGUACGAAAAGACAUCAUCAUCAUCAACAACAACCAUUUUCAGUUACACAAAACAAAUUGGACAAUAUUUGGAAAUUUUGAAGGUUCCGGAUCAAACUUACAUGACUAUUAGUGUUGUUGUUAUAUUUAAAUAUGUGUAAUAGUUAUGUCUUCAUGUAAUUUUUUAAAAGUUUUUUCGUUAAGUUUCUUUUGUAUAUUUUUGUUAUCUAAAUCUAGUUUAAAAUAUUUUAAAACUUCUUUUAAUUUUAUGUGUAAACUUAAAUUUUGUAAACAAAACUUAAAAUAUUUAUGAGAUAUAAUUUUUAUAUGGAUUAAAACAAUAAAGAAGAAAAUAUUUAUGAAUCAUAAAUGUGAUGUGUAAUUGUAGGUACUAAAAUGCAAAUAAAAAUAUGAAACUUCAAAUUUGAGUAGUGAAACUUCAAAUAUAGAGUUUCACUUCCCAAAACUUCAAAUUUGAAGUUUUAAAAUUCCUUCAAAUUUGAAGUUUUGAAGUUCUUUUUUGAAGUUUUAGAGUGUCUUUUGGAGAUGAUCUAAGUCUGGUGACUUAUCCAUCAGAAUAUGUAUCUAUACAGACAUUCUUACUGGAAUUUGGAACGACAUUUAAACAUAAAAUGUUAUGCUGAAACAAAUUCAUGACACAGAAAUACACAUGUUAUAACAAUAAUUGAGAUAUCUUUAAGGCUUUAUAUAUAAUGUGAUUGUUCUUGGGUCCAUGAAAUUGUAGCGACGUGACGAAAGUGGUGAGGGGACAAUGUGGUGGUGUCACGAAUACGAAAGAUUAAUAUUCGAAGCUCAGAAGUUGGAGAAUUUCUUUUUUUUGUUCAAACCAUACUUCAGUCAUUGCAAUCAAAAUAAAACAAGAGUUACUCCACAGUGGGAGAUUUCAUACAAGAGCGGAGGGCAGACUUAGCUAACCCAUCAGCCAAAACAUUCUCUGAACGAGAAAUGAAACAAAAGGAGAUAGAUGUAAGAGAACUACUCAACACGCGGAUGUCGUGGAGGAUCCCUUGAAGCUCAACAAUAGACGAGUUCGUUGUGAGCAUUAACACUAGACUACGAGAGUCGGAUAAACACCUUAGGUCGCCGAGACCCAGCUGAGAUGCCGCUUCGAGAGCAGCUUUGAUGGCCAAAGCCUCCGCCAUUAAGGCCGAGUUGAUAUACCUCUUUGCGCAUGCCCCCUGCAGUUUAAUAUCACCUGCAUUAUCCUUAAAACACCAUCCCAUUCGACCAGAUUUUGACAGCGCAUCCCAAGCUCCAUCUGUAUAGCAAGUAACAGUUGAAGAGGAAGUGUAGCAAGGUGGAGGAGACGAUGUCUUGGCUGUUUUUUUCCCCCUUAGGGGUUGUGCGAGACUCCAUUCUUUCGCAUCCCUAAGGGCCUUAUUGAUGACUUCGAUUUCAGAGAAUUUUUUAUCUUCAAAGAGGAGUUGAUUCCUACUAGUCCAUAAGUUCCACAGCAGCCAAGGAAACAGAGGUUUCGAGAUACUUGUGGGCGGGAGAGUGAUUAGUCGUCUACAGCUCUCCAUCAGGUUUAGAAUCAUAGAGGUCGAGGCGCAAGGUUUAUGUAUAGCAGGGAGGAGAUCCCAAACUUUUUUCGUGAAAGGACACUGAAAAAAGGUGUGGAUUUCGCUCUCAGGAGCAUUACAUUGCUUACACGUAACUGUGGCAUUGAUGCCUCUACGAGCUAGUGCCUCUCCCACUGGAACGGCUUUGUUCGCUAGCUUCCACAAAAAAAUCUUCAGUUUUGGUGAAGUCUCUACAUUCCACACGCAAGACUUCCAACCAAACUGGUUCAUUACCGGUUGUUGCUUCUCUCUUUCACUCGCAAGCUUUGACAGGGCAUAGCCAGACUUAGUUGUGUAGCAACCUGUUUUUCCCGGUAGCCAGACUAGAGCAUCUUCCAUAUUGUAGGAGCUAGGGUGGAUUACUCGGAUUGAUUCCUCAUACUGAGGCAGAUAGGACCGUAUAGCCUCGAGGUUCCAUUCUGAUGAAUCUGGAUGUAAGAGGUCUCUCACCGUAAGGUCUUGUUCUUCAAAAGAGGGAGGGCCUAUGGGACGCUUAACUUCACUGGUUGAUAGCCAAUUCUUACUCCACAGGUUUAUAUCCCUUCCAUUCCCAAUAGCCCAGCCAACUCCUAAUUUUAAAACUUCGCUGUCCGCUAAGAUCCCUCGCCAACCAUGAGAGAUAGCACCACUUGUAGGACAAUCGAAGAGGCUUGUGGACCGGCAGUAUUUCCCUAGUAGCGUCUGGCCAAGCAAGGAGGUAGGGUGCUUCAGUAGUCUCCACGUUAGCUUAGCUAACAGCGCAUCGUUAAAGUGCUCAAUAUCCCGAAAACCAAGCCCUCCAACUGACUUGGGCAGUGUGAGUUUGUUCCAUGCGACCCAACAAAGUCUCUUAUGCUCCGGCUUGAGAUCCCACCAGAAGCGGGUAAGAACCGACUGAAUCUGCUUACAUAGGGAUAAAGAGAAUUUAAAACAUGACAUAGCAUAGGAUGGCAUUGCCGCUAGUACGGUUUUGAGGAGAACCAGCUUCCCCGCCCCCGAAAGGAAUCUAGUUGUCCAGCCGUGCGCUUUUUGUUUGAUUCGGUUCACAAUGGAUGCAAAGAUAUUCCUUUUCCUUCGGCCGAAAUGCUCUGGCAACCCCAAAUACUUCCCGAUACCUCCCUCCUGGCCUAUGCCUAGCGCUGUUUUGACAUUAUGUUUUGUGGCAGGGAGGGUUGGAGAAUUUCAUGUUACUAUUUUUGAUCUUUGAAUAUAAUUAAAAGAAUGAUUAUAUGUUAAGAUUAUAGCUUUCAAAUAAUGUAGGCCCAAUCUUAUCGGGACCAUUUGUUGUCUUCUCUCUAGUGGCCCUAAUGGACAAAUAUUUUACUCAGGACAGUGUUGCAUCCAGGGAGAAUAUCAAAAUCUAGAAUGUUUUUGGCAGUUUAAGAUUAAUAUUUGAAAGCAAUCUCAUAUGUUUUUGCCAAAUUGAAGUCAGCUGAUGAUGAUGAUGAUGCGUAAAGUUAUAACUUAUAACCAUUGUGUUAUGGACCUUCUAUUCGUAGUAUCAUAGAAACGUAAUCAAAUCACUCACGUUAUGUUCUAUACACCGGAACUUGUAUGAUUUGGAAUGAAACCAUUACAAUUAGAAAAUGAGCUAAGACUGUAAGAGGAAGAGAAUGUACAAACACGAUCGAUAUAACGAGUUCGUAUAUCAACUUAAGAAUCCUGCUGGUAAAGCGUCUCCUAAUAGUAGAAAUCUAGUAUCAUCAAUUGGGCCUUGUAGACAUAUAUGCUGGAUCCUUUUAAGAUUUUUUUAUAAAAAUAUUCCUUCAGUUUUUUAAGGGCCUAUUUAGUAUUUACGUAGUAGCUACAUUUGAAAGACAUACAAAGUGAGACAAUAAUUUUGACUUAAUUCAAUAUCACACAUUUAGGCCACGAACCAUUGCUCCUAUGCAUAAAAAGUUACCAGUUGCAAGUGAAAGAGUAAGUGACGUCACUUUUUUGGUGGCAUACUGAUAAUCACAUCGAUACACAUCAUAAUAUGAAACAUUACUAAAAUAGAAUAGUAGCGUACAAACGAAAUAGCACAGCACAUAUUGUUCAAAUUUUGAAAUAUCUAUUAUUGCAGGAAAAUAGAUAAUGCUUAUACAACAUCAAUCAAAACUUUCUAUAAACUAAACUCUAAAAGGAAAUAUAAACUUUAAUCCAACUAUCAAAAUAUGCAAAUAGUACAUAAUAUGAAACAUUAUAUAAUAUGAACUAUAUAAUAUGAAGAAUUAUUCAAAUAAAAUAGUAACCAACGAAAUAGCAUAAUAUAUAUUGUUCAAAUUGGAAAUGUCUAUGAUUGCAUAGACAGAAAUAAUGAUUAUCUCAACGUUAGUCCAAACCUUCCAUGAACUAAACCCAAAAACAAAAGCAUUAAUCACUAAACCCUAAAAAAAUAUAAACUCUAAGCCAAAUAUCAAAAUAUGUAAAUAGUACAUGAUAUGAAGCAUUAUUAAAAUAUAAACCUUAAAUCUAAAUAGAAUAAAAUAAAAUAAAUAGCAUAAUACGUAUUAAUAAAAUUAUGAAAUGACUAUGAUUUCAUGAAAGAAAUUAAUGCUAGCCCCAACCUCAACCCACACCUUCCAAAUAAUAAACCCUAAACCCAAAUAUAAACCCCAAAUUCAAAUAUAAAUCUUAGAUCCAAAGAGAAUGAAACAAAAUAAAUAGAAUAAUACAUAUUAGUGAAAUUAUGAAAUGUCUAUGAUUGCAUGAAAGAAAUUAAUGCUAACCUAAAUUCAAAUUGACUGUAGGGAGAUGGAUGAAUAUUGACGACAUUAGAGAAAAGUGGUGGAAGAGACAACAUCAUAUGAGACCAUGGCCAUCGUAGAAAGUUGAUAUUACGUGUAUACGCACACCAAUUAACCUAAUGUGCACACUACCACAAUCGAAUGGUAUGCCGAUGUAGCACUUUAGGAUCGAAUCCACAGAGACCAACGAUUACACUUUAUCUUUAUGAGAUCAAUAUUAAGCUAAAAUAAUAUGGAGGUUUUAAAAUUGUGAAUCGUACAAAGCAAGUAAACAAGUAAGUUUGGUUUCAGAUUAUAAAUAAUGCUAGCCUAGGAUGGUUGAUCAGGUGUUAAAAAAAUGUGAGCCAAACAAUUAUUCAAGUUCAAUUUAGCACUAGUCUAGAACUUGGAUCACUUAAAAUAGAUCAUCCCAGUGUCGUGGUGCUUCAACUUUUUUCAAUCGAUCUCAGUACCUAAACUGUCGUUUGGACUGAGACGCGAUGACAAACAUUAAGAUCAAGUCCGAUAUGUUCACAAAACACCCUAAUAUCUACUUUCGCUGAUUAGGGAUGCAAUGCUCAUUCAUAACAGAUCUAGCAACCUAUUACACGGUUAAUGAACAAGUUAAACCUAGGAACUAACAUUAAGCGGCCAGAUUAAUGCAAGCAUUAAGAACAGUUAUGAAUGAAGACAAUCAAUGGAUUCACUUAUCUAUGUUUAACUCACGGAUCUAACACCCUAAUACCCUAGACUAAACAAGUUGACUACUCAGCCAUGAAACAAGAAAACACAAAGAUUGAAACUGAAUAACACUGCAUAUAAAAUAAAAUAGAAGCAAUAGGGUUCAUGAUAAUCUUCUCUGGGCAAGAUAGAUGGAGCCUUCUCCCUAACAAGUAGCAAAUCGUCAAGUCUAAAACUCUAGGGCUGGUUUCUUCUGUAAAAAUAGUGUAGAAAAAUAUAGAAAAACAGAAAAAGAAGUUAUAUGGAAGCCACACGCGGUCGGGAGAGAAAAUAGAGAGAUUAGGGCAAAUCCCGAUAUAAGUUGUAGUUUCCUUAAAAAAUCUCUGCCGCUGGAACAUGCACUCGGGGUGUUCCGCGCGAUAGGGAACAAUCACUUCAGACUGUUCUGCGUGAAAGUCACCAAAAUGUAAUCUUUUCUGCCUCUUUUGUUCCAGCUGGUCCAUCUCCCAUCCAAUGCAACUCCAGACCUGUCAUGACUCGAAAAGGACUAAAAGGACUCGACAAAGAGUCAAAAACACUUUAGAAAAUAUUGUUAGAAUGUAUCAAAAACACAACAUAUCAAUUCCCCCAGACUUAGAUCCUUGUUUGUCCUCAAACAAUGUCAAGUAUCAAGAACAUGAAGGAAAGUUUGAAAGUGUGGGAACUCUCCUAUUCUCAGCAACCAUACUUUAACCACGAAUCUCUGAACCAUACAAGCAGUAAACUAGGACAACACACCCUUACCAAAACCCACUGACUGAUGUUCAAGAUCGGCUCCAUAAUCUAUAUCUCAAACCUGAAAAAGCAACACUAUCAAGACAAAACUCCCUACAUUCAUUUAAGAGUAGUGUGAGCUUCUCAUCACAUGCAAUAUUCAGGGUAGACGGUCUAGGUGUGGAACAAGCUAUUUAAUGGUGGAGUUAAGAGUGUUUAGGGGAUACCAUUUCAUUUAGAGGAUGCAGGAUAUCACACAAAAUGACAAGAGAGGAUAGAUCAAUUGAUGUCCACAGCCUCUACUCAUUUUUGCUUCCUCUGGAACGACUUCUCCGUUUUGGAUCAGCCAUCUGGAUGAUCAGAUCAUCUGUCUGCUCUCCAAUCUUUCAACUUGGUACCCACUUUUUUGCUCGACCUUCCCAGUGGCUCAUGUUUCUUUGAUUUUUUCCCCUUCUCAAUCACCUUAUUCUCGUUUUUUUUGAAACUGAUAUGGUGAUGUGACGAAGAAGGAGGUAAUACAUGAUGGUUCUGAGUGCCACUGGUGGUUCUGAUUUCGCAACCAUUUUGGUUCUCCACCCCUGCUCUUGCAGAGUUCAUUGGUUAUGGAGCAGUUGCUCCCUUAAUCUGCUUGUUUUCCUUUCUAACUGAAUUUCUGCAGCAGUAAUGUGUAAGAGGCUGCGUUGAUCCUUUCCUCUCCGACCUUUUUGCACAUAUCUGCACAUAUGACACUGGAAAAAAAAUGCAUGAAAGUGGAAUAAAGGCUAAGGUGCAGGUUGGAAACUAGCUAAAGAUGAGCUAGCAACUCAGGAUCAGCAAGAUGGAUAAAAAAGAUAAGAAGUCCUGAGUGUAUUCUCGUUUCCCUGAUCUAAUGCCCAUAACCAUAAGAAUUUUUGUCAAGAUUAGGUUCAAGUUAGGUGGAGUUAAGUCUACUCAGUGUAACCUGAUCAGCUGAGAACUUCUGGAGAAUCAAGUGAGAAAUGUCAGGGUUUUCCACUCCAGCAAUGGAACAAGGAAAAACAAACUUUCCAGGGUCAUCAACCUUAGGCAGUACCUUCAGUGAUGGUGUUAGUGCCUCAGUAAAGAGUGCCUUGAUUUCCUCCUGAGAUUCUCUGCAAUUUUUGAAGAGCAUAUGCAAUGGCCGAAUCUCCCAAGCAAGUUCAAAUGAGAUAUUUUGAGGAAACCUUCUCACCAUCUUCCUAAACCCAACCAGCUGUUCUGCACUAAUGGGAUCCAUCAAAUGUCUAGGUGUAAUUGGAUAUGGAACCUGGGGAACAUAGACUCGCACUGGUGGAAUCUCAAUAGGUUCGUCGGGAGCAGUAACUUCAGAGCUAGCAGGCUGUUCUGUGUUCUCUUCUGCGCCUAGAACAGUCUCAGCGAACGACUGCUCUAUUGCAUUACAGUGCUCAGUCCUAGGAUUUUUAUCAGUUUUUCCAAGGAGCGUCCCUUGUUGCCUCUUCACACUCUCAGCUGUUUGAGCAAGCUGAAAAUCAAUCAUCUUUAUGUGGUUGCUCACAGUGUCAUACUUUGUAUUCAACUCAGUGAACAUGUUGUCCAUCCUGGUGUUGAUGUCUGUAGAAACCUGAUUCAAUGCAUUUCCCUGAAUCACCAUACCCUACAACAGUUGUUGCAUCAUCAUACCCAGACCCUUCACCUCAUCUGGUUGACUGUUCCCGGUAGCUGGAACAGCUUGUCGAUUGCUCUGCGGUUGUAGCUGGUUCUGGUUCUGAAUCUGCCCGGCCGUAGUUUGCUUCAUGUUGAAGAUGUUCCCUUGGUUGUUUUUCAGUAGCUGAUCAACCUUAGCAGUCAGCUCAUCUAUCUUAUGGGUGUCGGAACUGUUCCCUUUCUUGGAGCAAUCGCUCUCCUCGUUCUUUUUGGCUGAGGUAGUAGCCAUGUUCUCAAUCAGCUCAAACGCUCCAUCAGUGGCCUGAGUCAUGAAGUCUCCAUUGCUGGCAGAGUUCAUAGCACUCUGAAAUUCCCUGUCAACUCCAUCAUAGAAAAUUCCUAAGAGGUAGUCAUCAUCAAAUCCAUGGUGAGGACAUUCUCUGCGAUAGUCAAUGAAGCGCUCCCAUGCGUCACAGAAUGGCUCAUCAGUGAGCUGUCUGAAGGAGGUGAUCUUGUUCCUCAAUGCAGCUGUUCUUGCCAUAGAGUAGAAAUGGCUGAGGAACACGGAUCGGACCUGUUCCCAUGAAGUGAGAGAGUCGGUAGGGAGAGAGUUCAACCAUCGUGCAGCUUUUCCAUUAAGAGAGAAUGGGAAUAACAUGCACCUGAUUUAGUCUGCUGGCACACCAUUCGCGCGAGUGAAACUGCAGACUUUUUCGAAACUCUCAAUAUGCUCCAUUGGAAUUUAUGUAGAGAGACCAGAGAACAUCUUUCUCUGUACUAGACCGAUCAAAGCAGACUUGAUCUCGAAGUCCUGCCUGGUGCAGGGUGGAUGAACUAUGGCAGAAUGAGUAGUAGGGAUGUUGCAAGGAAGGUUUCUCAUCCAGAUUGGAGCAGUCUGCGACUGUUGUUCCUGUCGUGCGAGAGCAGUCUGUUCAGCAGCAUCCUGCUGAGCUUGGAUGGUCUGCUGCAUUUGAAGCAUAUGUUGUUGCAUCUGUUGCAACUAAGCAGUGAGUUGCUCUUGAUUGCCGUAGUCCCUCAUUAUGGCGUUCGGCCCUGAUUGUUGACGGUUUGUUCUUUCUAAUCUUGCUGGCUCCUGGUUGCUAAAUGUAACUAACUCUCCUUGUGCGUUUCUCCGAGUAUGUCUACUGGUCAUGCACCUGAAAAAUUAGCUGCAAAAAAAAUGAUAGAGCAAGUUAGAGGUCUUAGACUAAAUAAAUAUCCAAAAAUAAAGGUAAAAAGAUGGUCCCCGGCAACGGCGCCAAAUUGAUAUUACGUGUAUACACACACUAAUUAACCUAAUGUACAUACUGCCACAAUCAAAUGGUAUGUCGAUGUAACACUUUAGGAUCGAAUCCACAGAGACCAACGAUUACAUUUUAUCUUUAUGGGAUCAAUAUUAAGCUAAAACAAUAUGGGGGUUUUAAGAUUGUGAAUCGUAGAAAGUAAGUAAACAAGUAAAUUUGGUUUCAGAUUAUAAAGAAUGGUAGCCUAGGGUGGUUGAUCGGGUGUUAAACAAAUGUGAUCCAAACAAUUAUUCAAGUUCAAUUUAGCACUAGUCUAGAACUCGGAUCACUUAAAAUAGACCAGCCUAGUGUCGUGGUGCUUCACCUUUUGUCAAUCGAUCUCAGUACCUAAACUGUCGUUUGGACUGAGACGCGAUGACAAACAUUAAGAUCAAGUUCGAUAUGUUCACAAAACACCCUAAUAUCUACUUUCGCUGAUUAGGGAUGCAAUGCUCAUUCAUAACAGAUCCAACAACCUAUUACACGGUUAAUGAACAUGUUAAACCUAGGAUCUAACAUUAACCGGCCAGUUUAAUGCAAGCAUUAAGAACAAUUAUGAAUGAAAACAAUCAAUGGACUCACUUAUCUAUGUUUAACUCACAGAUCUAACACCCUAGACUAAGCAAGUUGACUACUCAGCCAUGAAACAAGAAAACACUGAGAUUGAAACUGAAUAAUACUGCAUAUAAAAUAAAAUAGAAGCAAUAGGGUUCAGGAUAAUCUUCUCUAGGCGAGAUAAAUGGAGUCUUCUCCCUAACAAGUAGCAAAUCGUCAAGUCUAAACCUCUAGGGUCUAGUUUCUUCUGUAAAAAUAGCGUAGAAAAAUAUAGAUAAACAGAAAAGAAGUUAUAUGGAAGCCACAUGCGGCUGGGAGAGAAAAUAGAGAGAUUAUGGCAAAUCCCGAAAUAAGUUGUAGUUUCCUUAAAAAUCUCUGCCGUUGGAACAUGCACUCGGGGUGUUCCGCGCGAUAAGGAACAAUCACUUCAUACUGUUCUGCGUGAAAGUCACCAAAAUAUACUCUUUUCUGCCUUUUUUGUUCCAGCUGGUCCAUCUCCCAUCCAAUGCAACUCCAGACCUCUCAUGACUCGAAAAAGACUAAAAAGACUCGAUAAAGACUCAAAAACACUUUAGAAAACAUUGUUAGAAUGUAUCAAAAACACAACAUAUCAAAAGUAAAUAGAAAAAGUUACAAAUGAGGAGAAUAUGAAUAUUGAAGAGCCACAAAUUUAUUUUGACAAAUAAAAAUUAUUAGCGCUUUUUCUAUAUACAGGUUUCACCGGUCGUGUGAAAAUAAAAAAAUAGUAUUAUUAUGUAUUAGAAAAAUUGGACAUCUAGCUUAGUGUGUUUUCAUAGUUAUGCAGCCUAAUUUAUCCUUUUCAAUCUAUGAUUUUAUACCCAAAAAAAAAAUUAAUAUGAGCCUCGGUGUUGACACAUCUCUCUUGCUCACACAAGCUCAAAUAACAACUCGAUCUUCUUAGAGAAUAUGAUGAAGCAAGAUCGUACGAAUUGUUUGACAAUGUUAUAACAACCUCGGUUUCUUUUUAAAGACAGAGCCAAAACUAAAACAUUAUUCGAUAUCCUUUAAAGAAAACAAUUAAAAUAAACCGAAAGUCGAAACCAAUUAACGAGUACAAAGAAGCUAUAAUUUCAACUGAAUUACAGUUCCGUCCUGGUUUUGAAUUGAGAAAUUGCACUGUAUAGCACACAAAAAAAUUAUAAUUAACUCUAUGACUAAUUAACCUACCUCUCACCUAUAUAUAGUAUAUUUUAUAUAAUAUUGCUGUUAUACCCUUUCAUAUAACCGGUUCAAUCUGCAAAGAAAAUAAAAUACAUUAUUAAUUAGUUACUGUAAAAAGUAUCGAACACAUAAACAAUAUCUUCUUCUUUUUUUUCUUCUUUCUUUUGUAUCUUGAUUUUUCGUUGAUAACUACACAUAAAUCGUUUACUCUGCUUUAAUCACCACCAUCUAUACAAUGGAAACCACCAUCACCAUUGAUUUUUCCAUUGUUGCCACCAUAUUCGUUUUCAUUGGAAUCACCCCGUCUUCACCUCACAUAUCAUACCACUGUUUAUUCUUCUCUUCCAUCUACUGUACCAACAGUAAAAUUACUUCCUCUAUCGCAUGACACAUGUACCAUCUCUACCGUUACAGCCACAUACACUACUCUUCUGUCUCUGUGAGGUACCAAAAAUUGAUAGGAGAAGAUGACCAAUUUAUUGUUCUCUAUACUAUUAUAUACAUAUAGAAUAGAACAGUUUUAGUAAUCAACAAAUAUAACCAGUAUUGAAUUGUGUGUCCUUAACUAAAACAUGAUCGGACAUCAGCUUAGAACCACACAAUUGAAACAUUGGAUAUGUGUCAGGAAAUCGCACCCACUGAUGAAGAGUAGACACCAUAUAACUGUGAUUAUAUUUUCAUUUAUAUGUAAUGGUGCAAUAUGUAUAUAAAUGGAAUAGAUCAUGUGAAUGUAAAUGGAAAGAUUAUACAUUUGAAAUGGAAUAUCAUAUUUUUAUCUACCACAUAACAAAAUUAAAAAGAACUUAAACUUUUAUUUUUAUAUAUUAUAGAUAUAUUAUUAUAAUUUAUAUUUUGGUUUGGGUUUAGUGAUUCUGGUUUAGGGUUUAGUAUUUGAGUUGGGGUUCAGUUUAGUAUUUAAAGGUUGUAACUGAAGUUUGAAUUCUAUACUAUUUCCGUGAUGUAGAAUAAUUUAUUGAAAAUUCUUCUAUUUCUACUCACUUUACUACUACAGUGAUUAAGUAUAUAUGGGGUAAAUAAUGUUGUAACGUUGGUUUCUUUAUAUAACAUGCAUUUAUUUAUGUCCAUCACAAAACAUUGACGUCAUCUACUCUUCUUAGAUGUAACCGGAUACUUAUUAUAACUGAGGGUAUAACCGGUUCAAAAUGGUGUUAAAUGUUAUUUUUUUAGUUAUGUCAAAAUCAAUGUUAGUUUCUUAAUUUCACUUCAAUAUUUGGUUAGAUAGCAAAUUCUCCCUUUUGAAUUCUAGUCCAUUUAUUCUUCCUCAAAGAAACACUAUAAUAUUGUAUUUUCCUAUAUAAAGAGUAUUAUUUUGUUGUUCAAAAAAAAAUUAUUAUUUUCAUUUUUUUUACCCAAAAAAUAUCAUUUUAAAAUUUUAAUACAAUUUAUACUUAGUUUAAAUUUAAUAUUAAUUAUAAAAUACAUUAAUUUAUAAAUAAUUUUAUUUAUCUCAAAUCAUAUUGGUUAUAUAUGUGUAAUUAAUAAAAACAUAAACAUAUUUCAAUUAUUUUUUAAUAUGUGUGAAAAAUAUCAAAAUGAUAAACUUUACAAAACAGAAGAAUUAUAUGUUACAUAUAAACAGGGGCGAAGCCAGACCUUUUUCUUAGUGGGUGCAAAACAAUUAACAUAAUAGAAAUAUGGAGUAUCGAACCUGUGCUGUUUGAAAGUUAUGGAUGCACCCUUGCCAAAUAUGCUAUUUCCAACAAAAUUUCCAAUGUAAAAAAUAAAGUUUCUAAAUACUAACGGGUGCACGUGCACCCGUAUACCUUAACGUAGCUUCUCCCUUGCGUAUAAACCCCAAGGUUUUGGCCAUAAUGCUCCUAAAAUUCUAUAAAUCUAAACUAGAACAAGAUUGAUCUUCAAUACCAACUAAUAUUUUAAAUAACAAGAAAAAUAUAACAUACCAAUUUAUGGCAUCAUACAUGAAUGAUGUAACAUGGUAUAGAAAAAACAUUGUUUAACCCGGCCUUCUAACUCGGUUAACUUACAUGGGUUUCUUAAUAAGAAUAUGAUUUGAGGAGGCUAAAAGAGGUUGGUGAGCUUGGGCAUUUCUAGGCCCAUGAUGAAGUUGUUAAAAGGAACUGUUGAAGAGGAAAGGUUUCUCGAGCUUAAUCUUCCUUUAAUAUAUUUCUAACUAUUCUGUUAUACCACAGAACUUUUAAACUCUUUGAUAUUAUAGUGAAUGUUGCGAGCUAGAGAUUCGCUGAGACAUGCCCUUGAACGAUAAAGGUACUCGUAAAUCUGUUUUGUGCGAUAGUGUUUGAUUCGAUUAGUAACUGAGCUCAGAGUAGAAUCAAAGGUAAUUGCUCUUUUAAUGAUUUUUUGUACCGAUAAAUUUCUCUUUCUGAAAACCCUACUUAGUUAGGCUUUUAGUCAUUGUUAAAGACAUUUUGUUUAAUAAAUUUAAAUAAAGGUAGUUUUCAAAAUUUAAUAUCUUCUAUAUAUUAAUAGAAAAUCAUUUAAAAAGUUGUAAACUUAAGUUUGUAUUAAUUUAAAAAAAGCAUUUUUUAGGUGUCACUUAAUUAUGAUGUUAAUUUGGCUUACUUGACAGCAUAAAAAUCAAUUGAAAAAUUAGUAAGUCCAAAAUUCAAUUGUUAGAAUUAACUUAGUACUCGACAUAAUCACUUGAUAAAUAUUUUAACUAUUUUAUUUAUGAUAUUAUAAUAACCACUUGAGUGUUUGUUAACUGUUAAAUAUAAAAUUCUCGACGUUUGUUUAUUCUUUUGUUCACCUAUACAAUAUAGAAAAGAGCACAAAAACAAAGCAUAUAAUGAAUUAAAAAAAUAAAGGACAUAGUAAAUAUCAGAUAACAAUAUCAUCGAGAAGAAAGCAAAGCAAAACAUUUGAAAGUUUUGUUUCGUCGUCGGUACAUUACCCGCAACAUUUCACAACUUUGGAGUUAACAAAAUUGUAAUUUUCAUAACAAACAAAGCAAUAAUUCACAAACGAGAGUAACCAUAUUGAAUUUCAAAUGUUCAUUGUUAGUAGGUUCAAAACUUUGUUGAUGUGAGAAUCUCUAUAUCAUUUGUGUAAUUGUUAUUAUGCGUUGCUGCAAACAAUUAUAUGCUUGGAAGAGACACAAUCUAUACUCAGAAGAGACAUAGUCUAUUAUACUAUCAAGAAUAAAUUUCUAAUCUAUACUCAAGUUUUUUAAGCUAUAUAAUUAGAAAAAAACUACUUAUUUCGGAUUAUAUUAGUUACAGACAAAGAAUUUAAAAAAAAUAUUUUUAACAUCGUCACCAAAAUACUAAACUCUAAAUCCUAAUCCUUAAAUCUUAAAUCAUAAACCCUUGGGUAAACCCUAAACCAUUGGAUAAAUCAUAAAUUCUAAAUCAAAAACACUAAAACCCUAAAUCUUAAACCCUAAACCCUAAAUCCUUGAGUGUUUUAGUGUUUAGUGUUUUUGAUUUAGAGUUAAGGAUUUAUCCAAGAGUUAAGGAUUUACCCAAAUGUUUAGGAUUUAAGGUUUAAGGAUUAGGAUUUAGUGUUUUGCUGGUUAAAAAAUAUAUUUUUCUGUA
rnacentral:lncRNA from 1 species